rnacentral:lncRNA from 1 species
AAAAAUUAAAUACUGUAACUGAAUCUUGAAAAUGGUCUGUAAUGAAACAUCCUGGACCUGAGCCCCAAGAACAGUAGGGUUAUAAAGGAUGGAAAAGAGGAAGAAUCAGCAUUGCGGAUGGGAAACUGAGGUACAGAGAGUUGAAGACUGAAAUUUUCAGAGGAGCCCAGUGGAGUUAGGGGCAAGAACUCUGAAGACAAGACUGGCUGGUUUUGCUUCUCCCUCCUCACCCUGGAUCCCUUAUAGGAAUCACAGAUGUAAGUGCUGCAGGAAGUUCGUAUCCAUCCAGUUUC